rnacentral:rRNA from 1 species
AUUAAUAAGCGGAGGAAAAGAAACUAACAAGGAUUCCCUCAGUAACGGCGAGUGAAGCGGGAAGAGCUCAAAUUUGAAAUCUCCGAUGCCUGCAUCGGCGAGUUGUAGUUGCGAGAAGCACUUUCUAGGUGGAUCGGCAGGGCCUAAGUUGCUUGGAACAGCACGUCGCAGAGGGUGACAACCCCGUCUGUGGCGCUGCCGGCCGCCGACGAUGUGCUUUCGAAGAGUCGGGUUGUUUGGGAAUGCAGCCCAAAACGGGUGGUAAACUCCAUCUAAAGCUAAAUACUGGCGUGAGACCGAUAGCGAACAAGUACCGUGAGGGAAAGAUGAAAAGAACUUUGAAAAGAGAGUUAAAAAGUACGUGAAACCGUCCAAAGGGAAACGAAUGGACUCAGCAAUGCGCCCUCUGAGAUUCAGCCGGUGGGUGGCGUCGGCGCCGGGUCUUGCGGAUCCGAAUGGACCGCGGCCUCGGCGCUCGCUGCUCCCCGCCGUCGCACUUCUCUGGGGCGCGCGUCAACGUGGGUUGGGACUGGGUCUGAAAGGUGCCGGGAAGGUAGGCGUGGGCCCUCGGGUUUCCGCGCUGUUACAGCCCGGUUCUCUCAUGGCUCGGGCCCGACCGAGGAGCUUUUACAGGGCAUGCCUCCUGUGGCUAGGGUCCCGCCCUUCCGGCCGGCUGUUUUUUUCCAAUGCGGUGGACUGCUUGCAGUGCUCCGCGACGGCUGCCGGUCGUUGGGGUGGUGAUCUCGUACCAUGCCCUUGAGAUGUUGGCGGUCAUAUGG